ensembl:lncRNA
CACCGAUAUACUAAUACACAAAAAUAUCCCAUUUGUUCUGGAAUACCAGGAACAGGACCCUGAGGGUAGAUACAUCCUGGUGACUGGUACAAUAUUUGUACAACAUGUUACAAUUUUAAACAUAUACACACACACCAAAUGAGGAUAAUAGACAUUUUAUUUCUGAAUUAUAUUAGAAACAUCCACAGACCCCACUCCUACACCUCUAACAGGGGAUGAGAAUUCAGAGACAUCCACAGUCCCAACUCCUACACUUUUCACUUGGGCCGAUGUUGUGAAACAGAAUCAGACUGAGAAGGUUAAGCAGAAGAAGAAAACGAAGACCAAGAAGAUGCAGGCUCAAGUCGACCAGCAGCUGCCGAGACCAAGAAGUUCCCUGUGGACAAGUCUCACCACAGCAAGAACACCAAGAGAGUCGAGCUGUUCAUAAGGAACAUGGACUACACCGUGGAUAACAAGCGCCUGUACGAGGAGUUCCUCCCAUUUGGAGUCGUUGUCAGUGCAAAGGUGAUGAUGGAAAAUGGCCACUCCAAAGGAUAUGGCAAUGUUACUUUUUCAUCCACAACGGAAGCCAUGGUGGCCAUUAAAGGAAUGGAUGAGAAGAUUUUGGGCGAGAGGCCGGUGCAUGUAGCUCUCUCUGAGAAGAGAGGAGCGUGGGCCUUAGGGUUAGGGGUGGGCAGCAAUGUUAUUGAAUGGAUCUAUUCUUAAUAAACAAAGCACACGUGAAGACAGUACUUUUGAAUGCAAUAAUAUGAUCUAGAAUAGUGCAAUGAUAAUACAUUUUUGCAAUAAUAUUAUAUACCAAGAUAAAAGAUUUGACAAAUCGCACACACACAAGAAAAUUAAGUCGUGAUCAUGAGAAAACAACAGAAAAAAAUUUAUAAUGCAUGGCCGCUAAGGCUUCUGUACUGAAAUGAUUCAUGACAAUCUAUCAUUGACUGGCUGACUGCAGAGCCACACAGGCCUCUCAGAGAGCUUUUUCCUCUCUUUUAUGUGAUAGGGGUUUUUUUCACUGUGAAAAGAGGCUGAUUGAGAAAAUUGAG